rnacentral:rRNA from 1 species
GACGAACGCUGGCGGCGUGCCUAAUACAUGCAAGUUGAGCGAUGAAGAUUGGUGCUUGCACCAAUUUGAAGAGCAGCGAACGGGGGAGUAACGCGUGGGGAAUCUGCCUUUGAGCGGGGGACAACAUUUGGAAACGAAUGCUAAUACCGCAUAACAACUUUAAACAUAAGUUUUAAGUUUGAAAGAUGCAAUUGCAUCACUCAAAGAUGAUCCCGCGUUGUAUUAGCUAGUUGGUGAGGUAAAGGCUCACCAAGGCGAUGAUACAUAGCCGACCUGAGAGGGUGAACGGCCACAUUGGGACUGAGACACGGCCCAAACUCCUACGGGAGGCAGCAGUAGGGAAUCUUCGGCCAUGGACGAAAGUCUGGCCGAGCAACGCCGCGUGAGUGAAGAAGGUUUUCGGAUCGUAAAACUCUGUUGGUAGAGAAGAACGUUGGUGAGAGUGGAAAGCUCAUCAAGUGACGGUAACUACACAGAAAGGGACGGCUAACUACGUG